UACGGGGGGUGCAAGCGUUGUUCGGAAUCAUUGGGCGUAAAGGGCGUGUAGGCGGCUGGAUAAGUCAGAUGUGAAAGCCCCGGGCUUAACCCGGGAAGUGCAUUUGAAACUGUCCGGCUUGAGUAGGGGAGAGGAAAGUGGAAUUCCUGGUGUAGAGGUGAAAUUCGUAGAUAUCAGGAGGAACACCGGUGGCGAAGGCGACUUUCUGGCCCUAUACUGACGCUGAGACGCGAAAGCGUGGGGAG
rnacentral:rRNA from 1 species